GGGUUCGGUCCUCAGCUCUGAAAAAAAAAAUUGGAACAAUAUGGAGAAGAUUAGCAUGGCCCUGUGAAAGGGUGACACAAAAGUUCAGGAAGCAUUCCAUAUUCAA
rnacentral:snRNA from 1 species